rnacentral:rRNA from 1 species
AUUGAACGCUGGCGGCAGGCCUAACACAUGCAAGUCGAGCGGAGCGGCGGAUGGGUGAGUAAUGACUAGGAAUCUGCCUGGUAGUGGGGGAUAACGUCAGGAAACGGGCGCUAAUACUGCAUACUAUCAAAUGAGCCUCGGUCGGAUUAGCUAGUUGGUGGGGUAAAGGCCUACCAAGGCGACUAUCCGUAACUUGUCUGAGAGGAUGAUCAGUCACACUGGAACCGAGACACGGUCCAGAAUCCUACGGGAGGCAGCAGUGGGGAAUAUUGGACAAUGGGCGAAAGCCUGAUCCAGCCAUGCCGCGUGUGUGAAGAAGGUCUUCGGAUUGUAAAGCACUUUAAGUUGGGAGGCGUUACCAACAGAAUAAGCACCGGCGAACUUCGUGCCAGCAGCCGCGGUAAUUC